GGAAAAUCCGCCUGCGCAUGCGCACAACCAGAAAACUCGUACACGUGGGUUCUCCCCAAGAGUUGGAGGACAAUUAAUUUAACAUCUUUUCACACCGCACUCUCCACGAAAAGCCGAGCCGUUCUGCACUUUGUUUGAAAUGCCUUCCAUGACAGUCACUGGUGAUAGCAUAACUCAUGUCAAAAAUGAACAACUGUCCCCGGAGGACAUUCUAUUAACCUCAUCUGCCACCAAAAAUUCUGUCGAGCUGGUGGAAGAUGAAGUGUCAAACAGUUCACAAGGUAAAAAGAAACGAAACAGGACAAAGUCAGUUCUCCGGAAUUCUGUUUUUCGAAGUUCCCUUGGGAAGGAGUACCUUAAAUCUGAAAUGGAAAAAAAUGAAUAUAAAAUUAAAUUAAAUAAAUCCAUCAUCGAACUCAACAAGCUGCGAAUGGAAGUCCUCAGACAAACUUUGCUCGGAGAAGAAGAGAAAUCUAAUCGUGUCACAUAUCUAUGAAAUGGCAUGACUUCUGUGGAAAUAUUUUUGUAAAUAAUGACAAGACUAAUAAAAUGUUUUUACCUUAGAGGUGUACUUUGUAUGAUGAAUGCAUGUGACAUUGGUUUUUUUUUUUCUUUCCCACAAAGCUAUUCCACAAUAAAAUUAUGAAGCUAAGAGAUAAAUAUUUCUCUUAUUUACUGGGAUGAUAAGGUACGCAUUAUGCAAUCUUAAAUUAAUGUCAAUGUUCAAAGCAGUUUAGAAAUCGGCUAAACCGUCGCUGGACAUAAAAAGUUUUCUCGUGAAGCUCUGAAUAACCUUGCGAACAGUUUUGUAGAAGACAGGCCGGUUGUUCUCGACAGAUGUUCAUCCCUCAUCAACACUUUGAAUCAGAAAGGGGGAGGGGUGUGGACAAAAGGAUGUUGACGGGGCGCAGUUUCAAAUGCUGACCUGAUGUGGAAUGAUUUGGUGUGAAUGAGUUAAGUGCAUCUUGUCAUUCGCGUGUCAGACUAUUUUCAGCAGCAUUCCCACCACUCUGCUCGCCUUCUCCGCAAAAAGGAAAAAAACAUCAACACGUGUGCACAAAGGGAGUCCCCCAGAUACCUGGGUUUCCGUUGUGCAGUGUUUGCAGCUUUGCUCAAGCAGCGCCACCUUGAGAGCGAAUAGAGAGACCGGCCUUGUUGACCGGAGCCUGGGGGCUGGUUUGAUGCAAUAUCCGGGGUCUCAUCCUCCUUCAUCGGGCUGUCAGGAAUGUCCUCGCGCUUCCGUGCACAGCAAAUGAUGUGAGCAAGCGAACACACACACACCAUGAGCUUUCACAUUACAUAACACAUACCAGACUUGAGACAUCCAAAUAUGUAAGUACAGUCCU